rnacentral:tRNA from 1 species
UGUAAGCCAGGUUGGUUUCUAUCUUUAAUUUGUUAAUAUAUUUUAGUACGAAAGGACCAAAUAUAUAAAUAAAAUUUUUAUAUAAUAGAAAUUUAAUAAUUAUUUUGGCAGAUUAGUGCAAUAGAUUUAGAAUUUUUAUAUGUAAUUUAUUUUACAA